CCUGGCGGCAGUAGCGCGGUGGUCCCACCUGACCCCAUGCCGAACUCAGAAGUGAAACGCCGUAGCGCCGAUGGUAGUGUGGGGUCUCCCCAUGCGAGAGUAGGGAACUUCCAGGC
rnacentral:rRNA from 1 species